GGAUGAACGCUGGCGGCGUGCCUAAUACAUGCAAGUCGAGCGAACAGACGAGGAGCUUGCUCCUCUGACGUUAGCGGCGGACGGGUGAGUAACACGUGGAUAACCUACCUAUAAGACUGGGAUAACUUCGGGAAACCGGAGCUAAUACCGGAUAAUAUAUUGAACCGCAUGGUUCAAUAGUGAAAGACGGUUUUGCUGUCACUUAUAGAUGGAUCCGCGCCGCAUUAGCUAGUUGGUAAGGUAACGGCUUACCAAGGCAACGAUGCGUAGCCGACCUGAGAGGGUGAUCGGCCACACUGGAACUGAGACACGGUCCAGACUCCUACGGGAGGCAGCAGUAGGGAAUCUUCCGCAAUGGGCGAAAGCCUGACGGAGCAACGCCGCGUGAGUGAUGAAGGUCUUCGGAUCGUAAAACCCUGUUAUUAGGGAAGAACAAAUGUGUAAGUAACUAUGCACGUCUUGACGGUACCUAAUCAGAAAGCCACGGCUAACUACGUG
rnacentral:rRNA from 1 species